UGUCUGUCAUAUGCAAAUAUCAUUUGAUAUUUGGGCUCUUCAUUCUGCAUAGAGCAAUGCAGCCCAAGAAGUAAGUAGUGCUUUGUGUGGUGUUGGCCAGUCUGCUCUCACUGACUGUGAAUUUUGCUGUGAUCAAGAACAGCAGCUGAGAGCUCCAGACCAAGUUUCCCACCCACCUUUCCCCAGGGAUAAAGUUUCACUCUUCUCUACCUUACAUUCCUCAAAUCUGUAGCCCAGGAUAAAGUCUCAGGUGGAAUCAAACCAUCUUUCUCCUUUGUUGUGCUCACAGCUGAUCUGGGCGGAUGGUUCAGAAUCAUGAGUGCAGGAAACAGUCCUUCAUCCUCCCUAGAGGUGAAAGUGCUGCCAUAUCUCAUCUGUGACUCUUAUUCCCUCUCCUCAGUUCUUUCUCAUCCUGGCAGCUGCCACAAGACUUUUGUGGAAUAACAUCUACAUAAAAUUCCUACCAGAGCAGAGCAUUUUCCCAUUGUCUGGCAGCAACAAUGAAGGGGCUAUAGCCCACAGGAGAGACACUUUACCAGAUGCUGGUGGCCACAGGAUCCUUUCCCUCCAUGGUGCAAGUAUCACUUUUCUUCUUAAAAAGUUAUUAACAUUACAGUACCUUUGCAACUAUUGUAUUGCAAACUACUACUGUACUAGUACUGAUAAUGCUACUAUCACUAUGGUUGCUUCCUAAUAACAGAAACAUAUCAUGGGUUGCUCCAACCACACAGCUUGCAUUUCCCAUUGCCUCUUUCCUCGUUAUUCCUUAUUACUUUUAAGCUUUGCUCUCUUCUUUCUUAGAGAUCUAGCAGGAUAUUUUGCUGGAGUGACAAGGCCCUUUCAAAAGCACACACCGCCUCAUGGCUUUAGGAUACUGGAAUAUGAAUAUAUGGUAUGCCAAUGUGUAGUGAUUUCCUACCCAAACAUAAACCAAGAAAAAAUGGCUUCUUGGACUGGACCCAAAGACUGAAUCUGUGCAGGCAGAAUGGGCGGAAAGGACAAAGUGUACAGCUCUCUUCAAACCAUGAUAUUAUGGACAUAAUGGAUGGCAGACAUCAGCACCCUCUCCCUAUAAUUAAGCCUGAGAAUAGACAGCCCAUGAAUCCUUAUAAUAAAUUAAGUAGGAGAGGAAGCCCAGAAUUUCUUGGCUGCCUCUUAUCAGUCAGAUGGCAAGGUAGGUGAGUGAUGGGAUCUAGCCAUAUCCCUUAUCUAGGCAAAUAUACUGCAAAGUAUUUUCAACAGCAGAUUUCCCCCUUGGAUGUACAGUAGUGCUCAGUAGUGCCCCCAGAAAGAGCAGCUGGAUCACCAGAAGAUCAGUGCAGAUGGUGCUCCAGGAACCAAAUAACAAAGUUUGGCAGCAAAAUGAGACUUGAGCGUAGCUUCAUGAAUAAUUAAACCCACCCCUAAACAGUAGUUUAUAUCUAGACUUAGCAGCUGUGACCUUAUUUUGGUUAUGCUUUCCCACCGUAGAAUCAUUAAGGUUGAAAAAGGCCACUAAGAUCAUCAGAUCCAACUGUCAGUGCAUCACCACCAUUCCAACUAAGUCUUGUCCUUCAGUGCCACAAAAUGGUCCUGUUCCACUGACCAGAAAUAUGGACUAGGGAGAUUCCUAUUACGUUAGAGAAGGGAGAAAUGACAGCUGAGAAAUUCUCAGCAUCUAGAGAAUCAGCUCUGGCCUUCUUCCUCCUCCUCUUCCUCCUUUUCUGUUACAAGCAUUUGCUAGGAAAGAUGGGGAAGAGCUCUUUAAAGGGCACUGAGGACAGCUGCAUAUACAAUUAGGACCAUAUAGAAAUGAAUGUUCAGUUGACUAUUAUCAGAUCUGCUCUCUCAGGUUUGAUUAUGUGUUCAGACACUUCAGCAGGUGCACUCAGGUUAGUUUGUUGAAAACUUCUUUUCAUAGCCAAGAAUAUGGACUGGAAUUUCCUACUGAAUCUUUCCCUUCAACACAACAGAGAGAAGAUGAGAUUCUCUUCCAGUCUCAGGAUUGCAGCAGCUGCAGCUAUGUGUGCAGGGCUACCACCUACUCCUCCUUUAACCUGGUCCAAUAGGGAUAUGUACAUUAAAGAUUCAUUUUCGAUACAAAUAUUCUCCUCCAUCUGUUUCUAUAUAAUUAAUGCAGGCAAAAAAAGGCCUGGUCAGUUUUUUAAUUUUUUUUCCUGAAAAUUACAUAGCAUUUUCCAGU
ensembl:lncRNA